AAAAAAAAAAAAAUCCCCCCUCUCUGCAGAAUCGGUCCCAAAGUUCUUUAGGGAGAAGGACACACCGGGAAACCCAUCGGGAUUUGCCCCCUCCCACACGCCGCCCGCCUCCCGCUUUACCCCAGGAUCCAUGGGACCAUCAACCCCGACUCCUUGAGUACCCCAAGGGCUUCUCGGGGGCUUAAGAGGGGGGUAGGGAGGGCAGGGAUUGGGGGCGAAGAUCCGGGGAGUUGGGAAGCAUCGAGGAAACGAAAGGAAACGAAAGGAAACGGACGCUUUCUGCUGUGCUGCAGCUCAUUCCUCUAUCGCAGAGAGCACCGAAAGCACGUAUUUUCCGGGUGCUGCAGGGCUGCUUCUCCUGGGUCGGAAAACAUCUCUGCUUUUUCCAAAGGAUCCCGUUUUUGGAGACUUUUCUCCCCAAGGGUAGAGGGAAGGUACAGCCAAGCUCCCUUCCCCACCCCCUCCGGCUCAUCCUGAGCUUUAAGCGGCCCCGGGGGGGGCUGCAGGGCCAGAGUCCCCCCCCAAUCCCCGCGGCUCAGAGCCCGCAACAGGUACCCCCAAUCAGGGAGGGAAAAGCCAGAAGGGGUAGGGGCAGGAGGGAAUGGGAAUGGGCAGGGAUGAGGAUGGGG